rnacentral:sRNA from 1 species
GGUAUGAUAUAAUAGUUUUGCAGAAAAGUUAAGACGGUGGCUCUAAUUUCUGAAAGGUGGUGGUGCUUAUGAAUGUAGGUACUAAAAUCCAAGGAGAAAGGAGCGAAAAUUGUCGGUUUACGAGACAAUGCAACUCAUGCUUGGGUUUGGUAGUUUCCUACUAUCACUCAUUG